GGCGCACGGUGGAUGCCUUGGCACUAGAAGCCGAUGAAGGACGUUACUAACGACGAUAUGCUUUGGGGAGCUGUAAGUAAGCUUUGAUCCAGAGAUUUCCGAAUGGGGAAACCCAGCAUGAGUUAUGUCAUGUUAUCGAUAUGUGAAUACAUAGCAUAUCAGAAGGCACACCCGGAGAACUGAAACAUCUUAGUACCCGGAGGAAGAGAAAGAAAAUUCGAUUCCCUUAGUAGCGGCGAGCGAAACGGGAAGAGCCCAAACCAACAAGCUUGCUUGUUGGGGUUGUAGGACACUCUAUACGGAGUUACAAAGGACGACAUUAGACGAAUCAUCUGGAAAGAUGAAUCAAAGAAGGUAAUAAUCCUGUAGUCGAAAAUGUUGUCUCUCUUGAGUGGAUCCUGAGUACGACGGAGCACGUGAAAUUCCGUCGGAAUCUGGGA
rnacentral:rRNA from 1 species